UACGAAGGGGGCUAGCGUUGCUCGGAAUCACUGGGCGUAAAGCGCACGUAGGCGGAUUGCUAAGUCAGGGGUGAAAUCCUGGAGCUCAACUCCAGAACUGCCUUCGAUACUGGCGAUCUUGAGUCCGGGAGAGGUGAGUGGAACUCCGAGUGUAGAGGUGAAAUUCGUAGAUAUUCGGAAGGACACCAGUGGCGAAGGCGGCUCACUGGCCCGGUACUGACGCUGAGGUGCGAAAGCGUGGGGAGCAAACAGG
rnacentral:rRNA from 1 species